rnacentral:rRNA from 1 species
UACGAAGGGGGCUAGCGUUGCUCGGAAUCACUGGGCGUAAAGCGCACGUAGGCGGAUUGCUAAGUCAGGGGUGAAAUCCUGGAGCUCAACUCCAGCACUGCCUUUGAUACUGGCAACCUUGAGUCCGGGAGAGGUGAGUGGAACUGCGAGUGUAGAGGUGAAAUUCGUAGAUAUUCGCAAGAACACCAGUGGCGAAGGCGGCUCACUGGCCCGAUACUGACGCUGAGGCACGAAAGCGUGGGGAGCAAACAGG